rnacentral:lncRNA from 1 species
CUGUUCUCGUGAUCGUGAGUGAGUUCUCAUGAGAUCUGAUGGAAUUAUAAGCAUCUGGCAUUUCCUGCUUGCACUUCUCUCUCCUGCCACCAUGUGAAGAAGGUCUUUGCUUCCCCUUUGUCUUCUGCCAUGAUUGUAAGUUUCCUGAGGCCUCCCCAGCCAUAUGGAACUGUGAGUCCAUUAAACCUCUUUCCUUUAUGAUUUAUAAAUUACCCAGGCUUGGAUAGUAUUUUUAUAGCAGUGUGAAAACGGACUAAUACACAGAGCCCAUCAUCCCAGUCUGAGGCAGUGCGGAUCUCAGCUGCAUCUCAGAGGAACUUCUAUUUCUAUCAGUGUCUUUGAAUCAGAGAACACCAGGAGCACCCUUGUGAUUGAACAAGGCAAAAAAACUUUUUAUGGUUCACUGAGGACAAUCAACUCCUUCACAAUCUAGAACCCGAAGAUUGGAUCCUCUGAGACAUCAGAGAAAGAUUGCUUUAGCCAUCCUCACUGCAGUAAAACUUCAGGACCUCGAGCCUUGGGUUCAUAAUCUCACAACUGAGAAGGGUCCCUCCACACUGUUGAACUGUACACCCAUUGGAACCCUUAAGGUAAAGCUAACCAGGGAAGUUUCUCCCUAAGAAGAAGAUGGCAUCCUUGAUGCAAAAAGCUUUUCCCAACAUCACAGAUCAAGACUUCUAUUAUCAUGAGACUCUUAUCUUUGAAUACUUUUCCCCUUGCUUAUGCCUGUAUGAACAAUACAAGUGGAAAAGGGGUCUGUUGUGUGCACUCAUGGGGUAUACUUUUAGUUAUGAAGGAUUUUGCAGCCAGCCUUAUACAUGGAUAACCUUAUAUCUUGACAGAUGAAAGAUGAAGGCCCGAUGUAGGUGAGAAACAGAAACUUUAAUGGUACACACUUUGCCUCGUAAUCAGUCAGAAACAGAGCAUUGGUUCACUCCUCUUAACCCACAUCAUGGGUUAAAGAGAACAUUACCAGGAGAGCUUCACUCUUCUAGAAGGGCAUCAUUUGUUAGGUCCUUUUUUCCAUGGUUUCGAGUAAAAAAGGCAAUGAUGAGAAAUGUUUCCCUCAUGAUAGGCUCUAUAGCAGAUUCUACUGUAAAAGCCAUGGUUACACAGCAGACUUUAAAUUAUCUUGUGAAAAUUAUGCUAAAUAAUAGAACUGGCUAAACAGAAAACUAUCUGUGUCACUGUUGACACUUGUGGCCUAUAGAGAAAUAUAUCAAAAGUAGAUUACAGAGAUUCAGUUGUAAAGGAUUAGCAAAGAGACCACUUAAUUAAGCAAGUCGACUCUUUAGCUCAUUCUUUGAUCUAUUUAAUUUUAGGUGAUUUGGUUUAUGGGGGUCUUGGGUAGGGAGGAUACUCCAAACUCUUGCUAUUAUCCCCCUGAUAGUUAUAAUAGUAGUCUCCCUGGUAUGCUGUAUUCUCUCAAAAGUUUUAAAUGUUUGCAUGCAGCCAUCUCUAAAAUGUCAAAUGGUCUUUCUUCAACUGGAAUGACAAGAACUGAAAGAAAUGUGUGACCAUGACGACAUCGUAACCUAUGAAUGACCACAUUGAGACCAGAAACCCAAACUGAUGGUACUGAAAGUGGCACUAAAGCCCUUAGUUUUGGUCACACUUUCACCUAAGUGAGAACCUGACCCAAAAGGAGGAAUUUUUAAACAAAAUUAUGAGAGGCCAUUGUUUUGGACUGAGCUCAUGCACUAGGCCCCAAAAGGACCAGACCAAACCAAAAUGGAGUCACUCACGUUAAAUGUGAUGUAAUCAAACUAAGACUUUAAGGAAACACACAGAUCCUAGAACAGAUCAGGUUUUGUUUUUCUCCUGUAAACAGGACGUUCCAGCAUAAGGAGGUACCUUCUACUCAGUCCUUGCUCCUACCUUGCAAAACCCACUGUUCUACCAUUUCCCAGUGGGUUUAAAGACCAAAUAAGUAUAUUUACAAUGGUUACAGUGACAUCAAUGACUAAAGUUUUGAUCUCUCUAAUUUGGGGUGAAAUUGUUAAAUCAAGUUUAGCCUAAAGCUGCCUCCUUACAUAUUUUAAGUUCAGCCUAAAGGUUUCUCUGCACAUGGUGAACUACAACAAGUGGAAGUGUAAACAGACCGCAGCCUACACUUGUGCCAAUCACUGAGUUUUGGCCAAUCAAAUGUAGCCAACUGUUCAAACUGUUCAAAUAAGGCAAACACCAAGCUGUACCCAAUCCAGCUCUUUCUGUACCUCACUUCCAUUUUCUGUGUGUCACUUUCCUUUUUCUGUCCAUCAGUCUUCUUCCACCCCAUGGCUGUGCUGGAGUCUCAGAGUCUACUCUGGCUCAGGAGGCUGCCUGAUUCAUGAAUCAUUCAUUGCUUAAACCCCUUUACAUUUAAUUCAGCUGAAGUUUUUUUUAAUCAGUGGUAUGAUGAGAAUAAUCCUCUUGGGAUGGGGAUGGAGGCACCAUGGCACAGAAGUCAAUUCCGGGAGGAUUUCUUUUUUGAACUAUUCAUUUAUUUAGGAGUGCUUCUAUAAUGAAGUUACAUUCAAGCUGAGUCUUGCUGACAGGUACACAUUUCUUAGGUAGAGAAAAAUGGACAAAUAACAUGCAUAAAAUAGGGGAAAGAAAGGAUUUUAGGAAGAAACAAAUCAGACAAAAGAAAAAUGUUUUCAAGCAGUUGGGUGUGUUAGGAGAAGCUUCAAGGAUCUGAAGCAGAGAAGUGAGGCUGUGGGUUGGGGCAUGAGUCAGAUGCUAAUAACCUUCCCGAAUUGCUAAGGAAUUUGAACGUGAUCUGAUAUGAUUAAUGCCAUUAAAGGGUUUUAAACUGUGGACUUGCCUAAUCGUAUUAGACAGAGGACAAACCUGGGGCAUGAGAGACCAGCGAGGAAGCCUAUCCAACAGUUCUGGAGGGACCCAGUGAAGACCCACACUCACUGAUAAUAGGACCUAAGGGAGAACAUUGACAGGAAUGUUUAACUCUUUCCUUUCAGCCGGAGGUGAAGUCUCACAAAGUUAAUGAGGCUUAAGCUUCCGGGAACCUCAGUUGUUCCGGCCUUUUCUAAGCCCUGGGAGUAGCUCCCGGAAUAUCUUCUUAGAGUCAUAUGUUUUUGUAAAAAUAUGCAAAAUAAAAUGUUUUAAUUGCCAUCAGUUAAAUGUCUCUUUCCCCUGAAAUAUUCUUUCACUUUAAAAAUCAAAGUAUCUGUAAUUUUGGAAGCAAGUACAAUUUUUUGUUGUUAUUGCUGUUCUUAUUGAUGUUGGAGAACCUCAGAUUUUAAUUAAAC